UACGAAGGGGGCUAGUGUUGUUCGGAUUUACUGGGCGUAAAGCGCACGUAGGCGGAUCGAUCAGUCAGGGGUGAAAUCCCAGAGCUCAACUCUGGAACUGCCUUUGAUACUGUCGAUCUGGAGUAUGGAAGAGGUGAGUGGAAUUCCGAGUGUAGAGGUGAAAUUCGUAGAUAUUCGGAGGAACACCAGUGGCGAAGGCGGCUCACUGGUCCAUUACUGACGCUGAGGUGCGAAAGCGUGGGGAGCAAACAGG
rnacentral:rRNA from 1 species